rnacentral:rRNA from 1 species
GCUCGAGGUAGCCGGGCACGUCGUCGUCAUCCCCCACAGCAUCAACAAUCUCCAAAGUUGAAAGUGUGCCCUGCAGACCCCGAGACCGAUGCUGCCUCUGUGAUGGACUACGUCACCGACGAAUCUUCUUCCUUUACAGCAGAGCUUCCAGAUGACAGAGCCCAGGAUCCAGACGCCACCUUUGACGACGACUACCACAACCCCAAGGGUGCCUACUACUACGUGGAGGACGCCAACGACCAGGAGUAGUUAGGAGGCUCCCAGGCAGGAGGCCUUGCCUUUUCGAUCGUAGAUGCUUUUGUGCUAGCCUUCUUAAGGCACUUGUCUAACUUAUGUCUGUACUCAGAUAUUGUGGCUUCCGCUGACUCUUCUGUAUUCGAGCUUAUGUAUUCGAGCCCUCGAGGCCCC